GCCUGGGUGGCUCAGUCGCUGGAGCGUCAGACUUCGGCUCAGGUCACGAUCUCGCGGUCCGUGAGUUCAAGCCCCACGUCAGGCU
rnacentral:tRNA from 1 species